UACGUAGGGGGCAAGCGUUGUCCGGAUUUAUUGGGCGUAAAGAGCGUGUAGGCGGCCAGGUAGGUCCGUUGUGAAAACUCGAGGCUCAACCUCGAGACGUCGGCGGAAACCCUCUGGCUAGAGUCCGGAAGAGGAGAGUGGAAUUCCGUGGUGUAGCGGUGAAAUGCGCAGAUAUCAGGAAGAACACCCGUGGCGAAGGCGGCAUCCUGGACCAACACUGACGCUGAGUGAGCGAAAGCCAGGGGAGCAAACGGG
rnacentral:rRNA from 1 species